AAUCCAUAGGUUAAUGAGGCGAACCGGGGGAACUGAAACAUCUAAGUACCCCGAGGAAAAGAAAUCAACCGAGAUUCCCCCAGUAGCGGCGAGCGAACGGGGAGGAGCCCAGAGCCUGAAUCAGCAUGUGUGUUAGUGGAAGCGUCUGGAAAGGCGCGCGAUACAGGGUGACAGCCCCGUACACAAAAGCGCAUGUGCUGUGAGCUCGAUGAGUAGGGCGGGACACGUGGUAUCCUGUCUGAAUAUGGGGGGACCAUCCUCCAAGGCUAAAUACUCCUGACUGACCGAUAGUGAACCAGUACCGUGAGGGAAAGGCGAAAAGAACCCCGGCGAGGGGAGUGAAAAAGAACCUGAAACCGUGUACGUACAAGCAGUGGGAGCCCCACCACCAAAGCAUUCUCUGGUGUUGAAGGCCCUGCAAAGCAGCAUCGCGGUGGCGGAGCGUCGUUUGCGACGCCCAACACACAAAACAAGCGGUGAGUGCUUUGGGGUGG
rnacentral:rRNA from 2 species